ACUCCUACGGGAGGCAGCAGUGGGGAAUAUUGCACAAUGGGCGCAAGCCUGAUGCAGCCAUGCCGCGUGUGUGAAGAAGGCCUUCGGGUUGUAAAGCACUUUCAGUUGUGAGGAAGGUGGUGUCGUUAAUAGCGGCAUCAUUUGACGUUAGCAACAGAAGAAGCACCGGCUAACUCCGUGCCAGCAGCCGCGGUAAUACGGAGGGUGCGAGCGUUAAUCGGAAUUACUGGGCGUAAAGCGCAUGCAGGUGGUUGUUAAGUCAGAUGUGAAAGCCCGGGGCUCAACCUCGGAACUGCAUUUGAAACUGGCAGACUAGAGUACUGUAGAGGGGGUAGAAUUUCAGGUGUAGCGGUGAAAUGCGUAGAGAUCUGAAGG
rnacentral:rRNA from 1 species